rnacentral:rRNA from 1 species
GUGCAGCAGUCGAGAAUUUUUCUCAAUGGGGGAAACCCUGAAGGAGCGACGCCGCGUGGAGGAUGAAGGCUUUCGGGUUGUAAACUCCUGUCAUUUGAGAACAAGUGGCCGAACGUAACUACUUCGGCCUUGAUAGUAUCAGAAGAGGAAGGGACGGCUAACUCUGUGCCAGCAGCCGCGGUAAUACAGAGGUCUCAAGCGUUGUUCGGAUUCAUUGGGCGUAAAGGGUGCGUAGGUGGCGCCGUAAGUCGGGUGUGAAAUUUCGGAGCUUAACUCCGAACUGCAUUCGAUACUGCGGUGCUUGAGGACUGGAGAGGAGAUCGGAAUUUACGGUGUAGCAGUGAAAUGCGUAGAGAUCGUAAGGAAGACCAGUGGCGAAGGCGGGUCUCUGGACAGUUCCUGACACUGAGGCACGAAGGCCAGGGGAGCAAACGGGAUUAGAUA